GAUGAACGCUGGCGGCGUGCCUAAUACAUGCAAGUCGAGCGAACGGACGAGAAGCUUGCUUCUCUGAUGUUAGCGGCGGACGGGUGAGUAACACGUGGAUAACCUACCUAUAAGACUGGGAUAACUUCGGGAAACCGGAGCUAAUACCGGAUAAUAUUUUGAACCGCAUGGUUCAAAAGUGAAAGACGGUCUUGCUGUCACUUAUAGAUGGAUACGCGCUGCAUUAGCUAGUUGGUAAGGUAACGGCUUACCAAGGCAACGAUGCAUAGCCGACCUGAGAGGGUGAUCGGCCACACUGGAACUGAGACACGGUCCAGACUCCUACGGGAGGCAGCAGUAGGGAAUCUUCCGCAAUGGGCGAAAGCCUGACGGAGCAACGCCGCGUGAGUGAUGAAGGUCUUCAGAUCGUAAAACUCUGUUAUUAGGGAAGAACAUAUGUGUAAGUAACUGUGCACAUCUUGACGGUACCUAAUCAGAAAGCCACGGCUAACUACGUG
rnacentral:rRNA from 1 species